UACGAAAGGGGCUAGCGUUGUUCGGAAUUACUGGGCGUAAAGCGCGCGUAGGCGGACUGUCAAGUUGGGGGUGAAAUCCCGGGGCUCAACCUCGGAACUGCCUCCAAAACUGUCAGUCUAGAGGAUGUGAGAGGAUAGUGGAAUUCCGAGUGUAGAGGUGAAAUUCGUAGAUAUUCGGAAGAACACCGGUGGCGAAGGCGACUGUCUGGCACAUUUCUGACGCUGAGGUGCGAAAGCGUGGGGAGCAAACAGG
rnacentral:rRNA from 1 species